GGGUUUAAUGUCCGCUUCCACCUAGCAUGAUAUCGCUGACAUACGUAACUCCAUGCUAUGUUUACCUUUAUAUAUAGAUAUGGAAAUUUAACCUGUGUGUAGUCUAAAGUCUAGAGGGUUGCUGUCUAAUGAAGCGUGCACCAAGUCACUGACGACUGAGGUUUAGUAUUUACCUUCCCCUACUAUUGUAUAGACCAGACUGGUGAGAAAUCAAGCAAGCAUAUUAUACUAGUAUGAUAUAAAUAGGCGACGGGCACAUUAAUACACUAUACAGACAUUUGAGCGGAUGUCAUUUACCCGAAUUUGUACCUUGGAUAUACAUUCAACGGAGUCAACCAAUAGUUUUUAAAGAUGCAUAUGACCGAGAAAUCAGAGAGUGAAGUUCAAAUCAAGCUGUGUGACAAUGCCAGUAUCUUAGCAAAGAUAGUUUCCAUUUUACUAACUCUGGCAUUGGGUAUACACGUCGUUGCUGUCGCAACGUCAUACUGGGUCAUGGCUUACACUGGAAAUGACACUCUUUGGCACGAAGGGAUCUGGCAGAGUUGUUAUAAGAAUCUUUAUAAAACCUGGGUUUGUGCUGCUUACGAAGUCAUUCAUCAUGGUUCGAAAAUGCCAGGCUGGUUUCAUGUAACUCAGACAUUUUCUGUAUUUGGUAUAUUGGCGUUGAUUCCAACUAUAUUGAUAUCUGUGUUAUAUACUUUACUACCUAAACUCAGCGGUAGAAAAUUUGCUGCUAUCCUCACCAUAAUUCUGUC